rnacentral:rRNA from 1 species
UACGUAGGGGGCAAGCGUUGUCCGGAUUUAUUGGGCUUAAAGAGCGUGUAGGCGGUUCGGUAGGUCCGUUGUGAAAACUCGAGGCUCAACCUCGAGACGCCGAUGGAAACCAUCGAACUAGAGUCCGGAAGAGGAGAGUGGAAUUCCUGGUGUAGCGGUGAAAUGCGCAGAUAUCAGGAAGAACACCCGUGGCUAAGGCGGCUCUCUAGUACGGUACUGACGCUGAGACGCGAAAGCGUGGGGAGAGAACAGG